UGGUACGACGAGUCGCCAACCCGCGAGGGUGCGCUAAUCUCUUAAAACCAUUCUCAGUUCGGAUUGCAGGCUGCAACUCGCCUGCAUGAAGUCGGAAUCGCUAGUAAUCGCGGAUCAGCACGCCGCGGUGAAUACGUUCCCGGGCCUUGUACACACCGCCCGUCACACCACGGAAGUUGGGAGUACCCAAAGUAGGUUGCCUAACCGCAAGGAGGGCGCUUCCUAAGGUAAGACCGAUGACUGGGGUGAAGUCGUAACAAGGUAAC
rnacentral:rRNA from 1 species